rnacentral:rRNA from 1 species
UUGAACGCUGGCGGCAUGCCUUACACAUGCAAGUCGAACGGUAACGGGCCUUCGGGUGCCGACGAGUGGCGACCGGGUGAGUAAUACAUCGGAACGUGCCCGAUCGUGGGGGAUAACGAGGCGAAAGCUUUGCUAAUACCGCAUACGAUCUACGGAUGAAAGCAGGGGACCGCAAGGCCUUGCGCGGACGGAGCGGCCGAUGGCAGAUUAGGUAGUUGGUGGGAUAAAAGCUUACCAGGCCGACGAUCUGUAGCUGGUCUGAGAGGAUGAUCAGCCACACUGAGACUGAGACACGGCCCAGACUCCGACGGGAGGCAGCAGUGGGGAAUUUUGGACAAUGGGCGCAAGCCUGAUCCAGCCAUGCCGCGUGCAGGAUGAAGGCCUUCGGGUUGUAAACUGCUUUUGUACGGAACGAAAAGCCUUCUUUUAAUACAGGAGGGUCAUGACGGUACCGUAAGAAUAAGCACCGGCUAACUACGU